CACAUGCAAGUCGAGGGGCAUCACGAAUGAAGCUUGCUUUAUUUGGUGGCGACCGGCGCACGGGUGAGUAACGCGUAUCCGACCUACCCAUAACACGGGCACAGCCGCUCGAAAGAGUGAUUGAUUCCCGAUAUGUCUUGUGAGUAGAUUGCAAGAUGAAAGAUUUAUCGGUUAUGGAUGGGGAUGCGUAAGAUUAGAUAGUUGGCGGGGUAACGGCCCACCAAGUCUACGAUGUCUAGGGGUUCUGAGAGGAAGGUCCCCCACACUGGAACUGAGACACGGUCCAGACUCCUACGGGAGGCAGCAGUGAGGAAUAUUGGUCAAUGGCCGGGAGGCUGAACCAGCCAAGUAGCGUGAAGGAUGAAGGUUCUAUGGAUUGUAAACUUCUUUUAUACGGGAAUAACAUCACCUACGUGUAGGUGCCUGCAUGUACCGUAUGAAUAAGCAUCGGCUAACUCCGUGCCAGCAGCCGCGGUAAUACGGAGGAUGCGAGCGUUAUCCGGAUUUAUUGGGUUUAAAGGGAGCGUAGACGGGAUGUUAAGUCAGUUGUGAAAGGCUGCGGCUCAACCGCAGCACUGCAGUUGAUACUGGCGUCCUUGAGUGCGGUUGAGGUGUAUGGAAUUCGUGGUGUAGCGGUGAAAUGCUUAGA
rnacentral:rRNA from 1 species